GACGAACGCUGGCGGCGUGCCUAAUACAUGCAAGUAGAACGCUGAAGACUUUAGCUUGCUAAAGUUGGAAGAGUUGCGAACGGGUGAGUAACGCGUAGGUAACCUGCCUACUAGCGGGGGAUAACUAUUGGAAACGAUAGCUAAUACCGCAUAACAGCAUUUAACCCAUGUUAGAUGCUUGAAAGGAGCAAUUGCUUCACUAGUAGAUGGACCUGCGUUGUAUUAGCUGGUUGGUGAGGUAACGGCCCACCAAGGCAACGAUCGGUAGCCGGACUGAGAGGUUGAACGGCCACAUUGGGACUGAGACACGGCCCAG
rnacentral:rRNA from 1 species